rnacentral:rRNA from 1 species
AUGGAAGUGGCAUCUCCCUCCGAUCGAGAUCCGCAGGCAGGGCUGCACCCCUCCGCCGGCUCCAGCUCCAGCUCCAACCCCAUCUCCAGCAGAGACAGUAACAUGGCUAGAAAGUUACAAAAUGCAGCAUGUCUAACUAUGCGAGUACUACAACAAAUCACAGAUAAUUUCUCCGAGAAGCGAAAAAUUGGUCAAGGCGCAUAUGGAACAGUUUACAAGGGGGUGCAUGCCAGUGGGGAAGAGAUAGCUGUAAAGCUGCUCCAUAAUAACCUGCAAGGAACUGACGACGAGCAAUUCAAACGUGAGUUUGAAAACCUUAUGAGGCUUGAUCAUCACAACAUUGUACAGUUAGUUGGCUAUUGCUACGAAACACAUCAUAAACCUAUGCUGCAUAAUGAAGAAACCAUUUACGCUGAAGAAACAAACAGAGUGCUCUGUUUUGAGUAUAUGCGAAAUGGGAGCCUUCAAAAGCAUAUUUUUGGUACAAGACUUCUCCACUUCGAGCAUACCAUACGGAGUAUUUAG